rnacentral:rRNA from 1 species
UACAGAGACUGCAAGCGUUAUCCGGAAUCAUUGGGCGUAAAGCGUGCCGAUAGGUGGUCAUGAUAGUUUUGGGUAAAAGCCAGAAGCUCAACUUCUGCGUUUGCUCAAAAUACUUCACGACUAGAGGGGCAAAGAGGUGCUUGGAACGAAUGGUGUAGUAGUGAAAUGCGUUGAUAUCAUUCGGAACACCGAAAGCGAAGGCAGAGCACUGGGUGCCACCUGACACUGCUAGGACGAAAGCGUGGGGAGCGAAUGGG